rnacentral:misc_RNA from 1 species
GUGUUCAGGCAAAGAUUGCCUUUUGGGAUGCAUCAACUUUAUCUUGAGGAAACAUCAGAUAAUCUAUGUAGAAACAGAAAAUAUUGUACAUGUGAAACCGAAAAAUAAAAAAUAAAACAGGAAAAUUUGAACCAAAGAUCAAUGUCUUGGCUCAUCAUUGCCAUUUAGAUGGAGAUGCACCUCUUCCACAAUGGGCGUGAUAUGCAUCUCUGUUACAUGGGGUGCCAUAAGAUGGUCUCACGAGAGAGUACUAGAGAUAGACCGAGACAACAUCUUGCAAAUCUCGACUAUCCUGGCUAGACCUUCACAAACUAAGCAGCUGUAGCAUCGGCACACACAACUGCCCAUCGUAGUUGCAGAUUUCAGCAGGACCUUACUAUAGGUACAUCAAGCUGUCUGAAUAACUGAGGCCGAAGCAUCCAGCGAAACCAUCAGGACUGUUUUCCAACAUGUACAGGAAGGAAAUGUGAAAUAAAAUAGAGUAAUAUUUUGGAUUCUGGAAUCCAUUGGAGCCACAAUGGGUAUCAUACAGGAAUGGAUAUACUUUGCAGCAUACUUUCAGCGACGUGAUGCAGGUGGGCCAGCAAAAGGAUACUGACGUAAGCCUGACAAUGAUCUUCCAGGUUCAUCUCUAGGAUGCUGAUAUAUGUGGC